rnacentral:rRNA from 1 species
GACGAACGCUGGCGGCGUGCCUAAUACAUGCAAGUCGAACGCAGUGGGGACGGGUGAGUAACACGUGGGUAACCUGCCAUCAGAGGGGAUAACACUUGGAAACAGGUGCUAAACCGAUACUGAUGGAUGGACCCGCGGUGGAUUAGCGAGUUGGUGAGGUAACGGCCCACCACGGCCAAGAUGCAUCGCCGACCGGAGAGGGGGAACGGCCACACAUGGACGUAGACACGGCCCAGACUCCUACGGGAGGCAGCAGUAGGGAAUCUGCGGAAAUGGACGGAAGUCUGACCGAGCAAAGCCGCGGGAGUGAAGAAGGUUUUCGGAUCGGAAAGCUCUGUUGUUAGUGAAGCGGUAACUAAACAGAAAGGGACGGCUAACUACGUGCCAGCAGCCGCGGUAAUUC